rnacentral:rRNA from 1 species
UGGCUCAGGAUGAACGCUAGCUACAGGCUUAACACAUGCAAGGUCGAGGGGCAGCAGGACGAUAGCUUGCUAUUGUUGCUGGCGACCGGCGCACGGGUGAGUAACGCGUAUCCAACCUUCCCCUUAGUAGGGCAUAGCCCGGUGAAAAUCGGAUUAAUACCCUAUGUUGUGUCAUGAGGACAUCUGAAUAACACUAAAGAUUUAUCGCUAAGGGAUGGGGAUGCGUCCGAUUAGGUAGUCGGCGGGGUAACGGCCCACCGAGCCCUCGAUCGGUAGGGGUUCUGAGAGGAAGGUCCCCCACACUGGUACUGAGACACGGACCAGACUCCUACGGGAGGCAGCAGUGAGGAAUAUUGGUCAAUGGGCGUAAGCCUGAACCAGCCAAGUAAGCGUGCAGGAUGACGGCCCUAUGGGUUGUAAACUGCUUUUAUACGGGGAUAAAGUGAGGGACGUGUCCCUUAUUGUAGGUACCGUAUGAAUAAGGACCGGCUAAUUCCGUGCCAGCCGCAGC